rnacentral:sRNA from 1 species
UCUUGGUCAAGCGUCUCCAGGAGCGUCU